rnacentral:lncRNA from 10 species
GGCAAAGUGCGCGACGCGGCCCCAAGCGCAGAGGGUGCCGGGGGCAGGGGCUGGGGCGGGAGCGCCCCGGGGGAAGAAGAGGGGACUGACUGGGGCUCCGCCUGGGCGGGCUGGCCGGAGGCAUCGGAGCCAGAUCCGGGACCAAGUCUCUUCCCUUCUUACGGAGCACCUACGCUGGGCCUCGUGGACUCGGAGUUUCACCUUCGCCCCUUAGACGGAGAGACCCUGAGAGAGUGACUUCACUCUCCGGAGCCGCCGUUUCCAAGUCUGAGAAAUGGGCUUGAAAGACCCGGUGCAGAGCUGGGCGGGCGGCGUCGGAGGGAGGGAACCAGGGUCCCGCCGGCCUCCCUCUGGGGAGGGACGGGCUGCAGACGGGGGCUCGGCGCGGGCGUGGGGAGGUGCGCGCUGGGACCCGGAGCCCCUUUGUGAAACCAGGACGACCCUGCCCGGCCCGGCUGUCACCAGCGUCGGGAGCUCGGCUGCCCACCACCCCCCCGUGAAGUUGCACCUCCUCCCUCCACAAAACUGCAACCGGGGCCGGCGCGGUGGCUCACGCCUGUCAUCUUAACACCUUGGGAGGCGGAGGUGGGCGGAUCAUCAGAGGUCAGGAGUUCGAGACCAGCCUGGCCAACAAGGUGAAACCCCAUCUGUACUAAAAAUACAGAAAUCAGCCGGGCAUGGUGGCGCGCGCCUGUAGUCCCAGCUACUUGGGAGGCUGAGGUAGGAGAAUCGCUUGAAUCCGGGAGGUGGAAGUCGCAGUGAGCCGAGAUCGCGCCACUGCACUCCAGCCUGGGUGACACAGUGAGACUCCACCUCAAAAACAAAACAAAACAAAAAACUGCCGGCAGGAGAGCUGCCCCCGACAACAAGGCCUGAAUCCAGCCUUCCAGCCCCAGGGCCACGUGUAACCUAAUGGCGGCAGGUGUCUGAGAGGCCUCCACCAUAAGGCUAUAUUAAACACCAAACCCAGCUGCCACCCCUAUCUCCGAUGGAGAGGCCUGAGACACCUGCCCCAGGUUGGGGGUGCUUUGGAGAGACGCUCCCUGCAGCGGGAUAAAGGGGUGUGGGAGUACCCCCUUCUCGGGCCAGGACCCAGCUCAGGUCUGAAGGUGCAGGAAGUCCCUCCCACCUACGAUGGAGCACCUGGAGGCCAGCAGACCCGAAAGGCACCUGGAGGGCAGGUGCAUGGGCCUGUCUGUGCCUCAGUUUAUCCCUCUAUAAAAUGGGCCAAUGUUAAUUCAACCCUUUCACCAUCCUGUUCUGGAUUAGGCUGCCCUUUGUUCAAAGGGAAGGGCACAGGGUGGGGGCAUAAUUACCCCCAGGGCAGGAAGGGUAGAGCCCCUACCCGUUUCCCAGGAGGAAGCUGUGAUCCGGGUAGCUGGCUGCAGCUUCCCCCAAAGGGGCCGCGCAGGGGGGUGAGGGGAUGCAGGAUGGCAGCUGCCUGCAGUGAGGGGGCUCCUAUUUUUAGCCCAGAGAGGGAGCCGGGAAUGUCUACGCAGACUAGCUGGCUCCACCAUAUUCCAGAUGCCCUCAUGCCCCGCAGGGGUAGGCAGCAGUGUGGAUUUAGAUCAGUACAGACCUCUCCCAGUCUCUUUCUCAAGCUGUGCAUUGGGCACAGCAGCCCCAGCUUUAAACAUUUCCUAACCAGACCAUCUACCGGGGGCACAGCAGCCCCAGCUCUGAAGGUUUCCCAGCCAGACCAUCUCCUGGGGGCACAGCAGCCCUAGCUCUGAAGGUUUCCCAGCCAGACCAUCUCCUGGGGGCGCCUGGGGCUUUGGGAACCUCCCCCACACAAAAACAGCGUGAUCCUCCCCCAACCCUGCUGGUCACUGGACCGGUUCUCUACUCUGCACUCAGGUAGGGGACAUCCUCAUAAAACCCCCCAGAUCCCGCUCCCACAGCUCUGCAGGUUAAAAAGCCCAAACUAGGGCUGGGCCUGGUGGCUCACACCUGUAAUCCCAGCACUUUG